rnacentral:RNase_P_RNA from 2 species
GAAGCAAGCCGGAUCGUCGCUGCCCCAUGCGAAUGGGGGGGAGGAAAGUCCGGGCUCCACAGGGCAGGAUGCCGGCUAACGGCCGGGCGGCGUGAGCCGACGGAAAGUGGAACAGAGAGCUGAACCGCCGAUGGCGAUGUCCCACCCGCAAGGGCGGGCCCAGUUGAACGCACGAUUGAAGCGUGCGGGAUGGCGCACAGGCAAGGGUGAAAAGGUGUUCCCGUCAGGGAGUCCCCCUCAGGGACGGUAAGAGCGCACCGCAGGACUGGCGACAGGACUGGCAGGCUAAACCCCAUCCGGAGCAAGACCAAGCAGCAGGCGUUGAAACGGCCCGUCGAGCCUGCGGGUAGGUUGCACGAGUGCACCGGCAACGGUGUGCCUAGAGGAAUGACGGUCGCGUGAGGUUCGCCAAGCGCACAGAACCCGGCUUACAGGCUUGCUUCGCAG